rnacentral:rRNA from 1 species
GCAGCAGCCGCGGGAAAACGGAGGGUGCAAGCGUUAAUCGGAAUUACUGGGCGUAAAGGGCUCGCAGGCGGUUUCUUAAGUCUGAUGUGAAAGCCCCCGGCUCAACCGGGGAGGGUCAUUGGAAACUGGGAAACUUGAGUGCAGAAGAGGAGAGUGGAAUUCCACGUGUAGCGGUGAAAUGCGUAGAGAUGUGGAGGAACACCAGUGGCGAAGGCGACUCUCUGGUCUGUAACUGACGCUGAGGAGCGAAAGCGUGGGGAGCGAACAGGAUUAGAUACCCCUGUAGUCCCUGUCUCUUAUAC